rnacentral:sRNA from 1 species
GUCGGGUGUGGUGGUGCAUACCUGUAAUCCCAGCGGCUCAGGAGGCUGAGGCAGGAGGAUCUUAAGUUCAAAGCCAGCCUCAGCAAUGGCGAGGGGCUAAGCAACUCAAUUACCCUGUCUCUA